rnacentral:rRNA from 1 species
UACAUAGGGGGCAAGCGUUAUCCGGAAUUAUUGGGCGUAAAGGGUGCGUAGGUGGUUAGAUAAGUCUUAGGUGUAAGUGGAGAGCUUAACUCUGUGAUGCUAAAGAAACUGUCUGACUUGAGUGUGGUAGAGGCAAGUGGAAUUCCAUGUGUAGCGGUAAAAUGCGUAAAUAUAUGGAGGAACACCAGUGGCGAAGGCGGCUUGCUGGGCCAUAACUGACACUGAGGCACGAAAGCGUGGGGAGCAAACAGG